rnacentral:rRNA from 1 species
UACGUAGGUGGCAAGCGUUGUCCGGAUUUACUGGGCGUAAAGAGCGCGCAGGCGGUCGUGCAAGUCGCGUGUGAAAGCCCCCGGCUCAACUGGGGAGGGUCACGCGAUACUGCUCGACUCGAAGGCAGGAGAGGGAAGUGGAAUUCCCGGUGUAGUGGUGAAAUGCGUAGAGAUCGGGAGGAACACCAGUGGCGAAGGCGGCACCCUGGACCAGCACUGACACUGAGGCACGAAAGCGUGGGGAGCAAACAGG